AGGGUGUCACUGGUUCGGAUCCUGGGCACCGUUCAUCAGGUCAUGCUGAGGCAGCUUCCCACAUAGCAGAGCCAGAAGGACCUACAACUAGAAUAUACAACUGUGUACUGGGGGCUUUGGGGAGAAGAAAAAGAAAAGCAGAUUGGCAACAGACGUUAGCUCAGGUGCCAAUCUUUAAAAAAAAAAAAAGGAAUUUGAGGAGGGGGCUGAUAAAGAGGAGCUCUGCCAUCCUAACUCAUCUCUCCCUGUUACAUUUUGCAGCCAUUAGAGCUUAUUUCUAAUACCCCAUCACCCUCCUGGGGCCUCCCUUCCUCCCUGGGCACUGUACUGCUGUUGGGGCCUGGGAAGCAAGAGCUGGGGCUGUUAGCAUUGCGGGUAGCAGGACUGACGAAGACUGAGGACUCGCCUAUGUGUGUGUUCCUUUAUGGUGACUUUCUCCACAUGCCUUUCAACACCUUCCAUCUGUAGAGAAGCCAACCUGCUCAAGUCAAUACUUGUCAUCCUCGAGGAAGCAGCCAUACUGUGAGCAGCCCUACAGAUAGAACCACAUGGUGUGAUGAGGAGCUCAGGCCUUCUGUCCAACAGCACAAGAGGAACUGAGACUCUCGAGCCAACAGCCUGCAAGGAACUGAAGCCUGCCAACAACCAUGUGACCGAGCUUGGAAGCUAGUGCUUCAGCCUCAGUUGAGUCUUGAGAUAACUGCAGCCCCAGCGAACAGCUUGACUGCACCCUCCUGAGAGAUCUUGAGUGAAAGGUACCCAGUUAAGCUGCUCUUGAAAUUCCUGAUUCAAAGAAAUUCUGAGAUAAUACCCGUUUGUAGAUUUCAGCUAUUACAUUUUGGUGUAAUUGGUUAUGAGCAAUAGAGAACUAAUAUAUUCCUUAAGGAACAGACAGUACUUGCAACUUUAUUUAUGUUUUUCUUGUUUGUUUCCUUGCUUAACAAGCUAGAAGUUUACUUCUCAUCCAGUUAACAGUCCAGGCCUACCAACGGGGUUCUUCCAUACUUGCAAGUGGUUCCCAUCCCUGUGUCUCAGGCAAUUGUUUAAAUUUCUCCUUCUUCAAACUAGAAAGACAGGGGAGAAGGACCAGAAGGAAUACAAACCCAAUCCCUUAAGGAGCAAGACUUGUAAGUGGCACAUAUCCAUUUCACUCACAUCCCAUUAGCCAAAAUUUGAUCCCAUGAUUAUACCCAGCUGCAUAGGAGGUUUGAAAAUCCCAACGUCAUUUAUCGAUCAUUCAUUCCUUUCCUCCUAUCGCCAGAGUAUUUCAUUCAUUCCACUUUUUUAAACAUUUUAUACAGUUUUAUCAUUACUUUUCUUUCUGAACAAACUCUAAGCUGAUUUUUUACUGUCUCUGUUUACAAAUGAAUGAUUAAAUCAGUACGUCCAACUUUUUAAAAAACUAUAGGUAUUUUUAAAUUUAAUUUUUAUCAAAGUAAAAUAGUCAUAUACAAAAGUACACCAAGCAUAAAUGUAAUUUCUAUGGAUUUUCACAAAAUAGGCACGUAUGUAACCAGCCCCCAAAAAUCAAGAAAUGAAACGUUACCAGAGCUGAAGUCUCCCUUGCACCACUUCUAGGUAUCUUAGAUUAUUUUUAUCUGUUUUAGAACUUUAUAUAAAUGGACUCAUAAAGUAUAUAUGCUUUAGUGUCUGCCUUCUUUUGUUCAAUAUUACAUUAGUGAGAUUGAUCAGACUGUUGUCUGUAGUUGUGGUUCAUUCAUUCUCAUUGCUGUAUAUUAUUCCAUUGAGUGAAUGCACUAUUUCUUUAUUUAAUUAUUUAUGGACAUUUGAAUUGUUUCUAGUUUGUUGGCUAUUACAAAU
ensembl:lncRNA